rnacentral:rRNA from 1 species
GCAUAUCAAUAAGCGGAGGAAAAGAAACCAACAGGGAUUGCCUCAGUAACGGCGAGUGAAGCGGCAACAGCUCAAAUUUGAAAUCUGGCCUCACGGUCCGAGUUGUAAUUUGCAGAGGGUGUUUCUGGCGACGUGUCUUCCGAGUUCCCUGGAACGGGACGCCAUAGAGGGUGAGAGCCCCGUCCGGUCGUACGCCUAGCCUAUGUGAAACCCCUUCGACGAGUCGAGUAGUUUGGGAAUGCUGCUCAAAACGGGAGGUAUACGUCUUCUAAAGCUAAAUACCGGCCAGAGACCGAUAGCGCACAAGUAGAGUGAUCGAAAGAUGAAAAGCACUUUGAAAAGAGGGUUAAAUAGUACGUGAAAUUGCUGAAAGGGAAGCGCUUAUGACCAGACUUGGGCUCGGUGAAUCAUCCGGCGUUCUCGCCGGUGACUUUGCCGUCCCAGGCCAGCAUCAGCUCGCCCCGGGGGAUAAAGGCUUCGGGAAUGUAGCUCCUUCGGGAGUGUUAUAGCCCGUUGCGUAAUACCCUGGCGUGGACUGAGGUCCGCGCUCUGCAAGGAUGCUGG